CUAAUACUUUCUCUCACUAGUUGGACAUUCUAGAGAGAGAGAGAGGGAGAUUUUUCACAAGAAAUUGAAAGCUUUUGAAAGGGAAUUCAAUUACCAAGCUAGCAAGGUUCCAACGAAGCUCCACCACCCUAUUUGGACCAUUAGAGGAAGUGGAAUUGAGUAAGAAUUUAACAAAUACUGAUUAGGAGGCAGUUGGAACCUAGGUCGAGGUGUCCACAUAGUUUCGUCUUUGUUGGUGGGUAUGUUGGCAUUCAGUAGCCGUCCCUUCACCUUGGUCAUUCCGCUGGAAGUCAAUAAUCAUUUUGUUUGUGAAUACGUUCAUGUGAUGUAAAGUAUUAAGAUAUGUGUCUUAGACAAUGUACGUAUACUGUGACGGGUAAUGCCACCACUAGUUGGCAAUGGUUAACAAUA